CCCAAGUAUGACACUCUAAGAAUGAAGACAGGUUCAGAAGACCAUAUAACAUAUAAUGCCACUUAGUAGAAAUGUCCAGGAAAAGUAGAAAAUAUAGAAAGCAGAUGUCUGGUUGCUGUGGCUGAGGUAUGAAGAGACUGAAGACAACAAACAUAGGUGGCCCACUGCAUUGAAGGCUUUUAUAUUUUAGAAAUCGAACUGAAAAUGUCAUCUGCAGUCAGUUUUGAUAAUGCUUGAGUUCUCCAAAGAGCCUGUCAGAGUGGAAUACUUUUCUAUCCUUCAUCUAUUCCAUUCUACACUGAGUACAUCAACCAGAUGCCAAGUCAUGCCUCACUGAAGCUCACGGGAAACUGUGGCCAACACAAAAUGGACUCCACAUUUUUACUUUCUUGUUUACUUGUGCUUUUUAUGAUGCUUUGGUUUUUGUAUUUUCAAGAGAGAGAAAGAACAUGCAUUUGGAUGAAUAGGGAGAGUUCAGUGACCUGGGAGGAGUUGGAAUGGGGAAGAAUACAGUCAAAAUAAAUUGUAUGAACAUUUUUAAAAACAAAAUUAAAAUAAGAAACAUUAAUGGAAUUAAGAGACACCAAAAAUUGGAAAAGCCUCCCAUUUUACAGAUUGGAAGAAUUAAUAUUGUUAAAAUAUCUAUACUGCCCAAAGUAACUUACAGGUUAAUGUAAUCCCCAUGAAAAUACCAACUACAUUCACUAAAAAAGAAAAAGAAAAACGAUCCCUGAAAUUCAUAUGGAAGCACCAAAGACCCCAUGUAGCCAAAGCAGCCUCCAACCUGAUGAACAAAGCUGGAUGUGACACAGUAUUGACUUCUGGAAACACAGCCGAGCCGUGGUACCCAAAGCAGCAUGGCACUUGGAAGCACGGUCCAAUAAAACAAAGAGCAACUCCUAAAAACAAAGCCAAAAACCUAUAGCCAACUGAUUCUCAAAAAAGGUACUAAAGCAUUCCUGAGCAGGCUAAAGGAGAAAACUAAAAAUCCACACACAGAGGGCUGACAUUGACCUAUUUGACCCUGCCCCAAAUCAACUCAAAAUGAAGACAAAGAGAACUGUGUUCAGUUGCCACUUCUGCCCACUAAUCUGUUAGACCCAGGGCUGGCACUGAAUCUCACUGGUGUGUCUUGGCAUUGAGUGGGAUGUAGAUACUGAUGAUGUUUACUAUUUGGGCUUACUGUGGAGCUUGGAUGCAAGCAUAGUAACUCUCAAAUAUUAGGAUUGGAUGACAAGCAACCACAUUUGUGUGUGACUGCCAGAGGCCAUGUGGAUGGCACCAGUACCGACUGCAAUGGAAAACACAGGAGGGGCCCCUGCAGUUCGGGUUAUGGGUCCAGCUGGGAGGAUGGACACCUGAGGCAUUUAGGAACCAAGGAAGAGGAGAAAGCUGCACCAGAUUUUGAAAACCCUCUGGCUUUGAUUAGCAAACUCUGCAUUUCCUUCCAUUGCUCAAGCCGUCGUUAUCUCCUUAUUCACAUGGCAUCCUUUCAUAAAUGAUUCACUUCCUCCUCAGCUGCCCUACUAAUGACCUUCCUAGGAGAACAUGAAUAAGAUUUUGUAACACCAGUAAUGAGAAGCCAAAAAGAGAAAAAACAAUGAAUUUCCUUAUGAGCUGUCUGACCUUGGACAAAGCAUCUUAUUUUCAGUAUCAUUUUCUUACCUACAAAAUGCCGUGGACUGCUACUAGGUGAGACUAAGUAUUGUGACCCGCAGUGCCUAAUAAACAUUGGAUUCGACUUCCUUUAA